UUAAGCGACUAAGCGUACACGGUGGAUGCCCUGGCAGUCAGAGGCGAUGAAGGACGUGCUAAUCUGCGAUAAGCGUCGGUAAGGUGAUAUGAACCGUUAUAACCGGCGAUUUCCGAAUGGGGAAACCCAGUGUGUUUCGACACACUAUCAUUAACUGAAUCCAUAGGUUAAUGAGGCGAACCGGGGGAACUGAAACAUCUAAGUACCCCGAGGAAAAGAAAUCAACCGAGAUUCCCCCAGUAGCGGCGAGCGAACGGGGAGGAGCCCAGAGCCUGAAUCAGUGUGUGUGUUAGUGGAAGCGUCUGGAAAGGCGCGCGAUACAGGGUGACAGCCCCGUACACAAAAAUGCACAUACUGUGAGCUCGAUGAGUAGGGCGGGACACGUGGUAUCCUGUCUGAAUAUGGGGGGACCAUCCUCCAAGGCUAAAUACUCCUGACUGACCGAUAGUGAACCAGUACCGUGAGGGAAAGGCGAAAAGAACCCCGGCGAGGGGAGUGAAAAAGAACCUGAAACCGUGUACGUACAAGCAGUGGGAGCCUCUUUAUGGGGUGACUGCGUACCUUUUGUAUAAUGGGUCAGCGACUUAUAUUCUGUAGCAAGGUUAACCGAAUAGGGGAGCCGAAGGGAAACCGAGUCUUAACUGGGCGUUAAGUUGCAGGGUAUAGACCCGAAACCCGGUGAUCUAGCCAUGGGCAGGUUGAAGGUUGGGUAACACUAACUGGAGGACCGAACCGACUAAUGUUGAAAAAUUAGCGGAUGACUUGUGGCUGGGGGUGAAAGGCCAAUCAAACCGGGAGAUAGCUGGUUCUCCCCGAAAGCUAUUUAGGUAGCGCCUCGUGAAUUCAUCUCCGGGGGUAGAGCACUGUUUCGGCAAGGGGGUCAUCCCGACUUACCAACCCGAUGCAAACUGCGAAUACCGGAGAAUGUUAUCACGGGAGACACACGGCGGGUGCUAACGUCCGUCGUGAAGAGGGAAACAACCCAGACCGCCAGCUAAGGUCCCAAAGUCAUGGUUAAGUGGGAAACGAUGUGGGAAGGCCCAGACAGCCAGGAUGUUGGCUUAGAAGCAGCCAUCAUUUAAAGAAAGCGUAAUAGCUCACUGGUCGAGUCGGCCUGCGCGGAAGAUGUAACGGGGCUAAACCAUGCACCGAAGCUGCGGCAGCGACGCUUAUGCGUUGUUGGGUAGGGGAGCGUUCUGUAAGCCUGUGAAGGUGUGCUGUGAGGCAUGCUGGAGGUAUCAGAAGUGCGAAUGCUGACAUAAGUAACGAUAAAGCGGGUGAAAAGCCCGCUCGCCGGAAGACCAAGGGUUCCUGUCCAACGUUAAUCGGGGCAGGGUGAGUCGACCCCUAAGGCGAGGCCGAAAGGCGUAGUCGAUGGGAAACAGGUUAAUAUUCCUGUACUUGGUGUUACUGCGAAGGGGGGACGGAGAAGGCUAUGUUGGCCGGGCGACGGUUGUCCCGGUUUAAGCGUGUAGGCUGGUUUUCCAGGCAAAUCCGGAAAAUCAAGGCUGAGGCGUGAUGACGAGGCACUACGGUGCUGAAGCAACAAAUGCCCUGCUUCCAGGAAAAGCCUCUAAGCAUCAGGUAACAUCAAAUCGUACCCCAAACCGACACAGGUGGUCAGGUAGAGAAUACCAAGGCGCUUGAGAGAACUCGGGUGAAGGAACUAGGCAAAAUGGUGCCGUAACUUCGGGAGAAGGCACGCUGAUAUGUAGGUGAAGCGACUUGCUCGUGGAGCUGAAAUCAGUCGAAGAUACCAGCUGGCUGCAACUGUUUAUUAAAAACACAGCACUGUGCAAACACGAAAGUGGACGUAUACGGUGUGACGCCUGCCCGGUGCCGGAAGGUUAAUUGAUGGGGUUAGCGGUAACGCGAAGCUCUUGAUCGAAGCCCCGGUAAACGGCGGCCGUAACUAUAACGGUCCUAAGGUAGCGAAAUUCCUUGUCGGGUAAGUUCCGACCUGCACGAAUGGCGUAAUGAUGGCCAGGCUGUCUCCACCCGAGACUCAGUGAAAUUGAACUCGCUGUGAAGAUGCAGUGUACCCGCGGCAAGACGGAAAGACCCCGUGAACCUUUACUAUAGCUUGACACUGAACAUUGAGCCUUGAUGUGUAGGAUAGGUGGGAGGCUUUGAAGUGUGGACGCCAGUCUGCAUGGAGCCGGCCUUGAAAUACCACCCUUUAAUGUUUGAUGUUCUAACGUUGGCCCCUGAUCGGGGUUGCGGACAGUGUCUGGUGGGUAGUUUGACUGGGGCGGUCUCCUCCUAAAGAGUAACGGAGGAGCACGAAGGUUGGCUAAUCCUGGUCGGACAUCAGGAGGUUAGUGCAAUGGCAUAAGCCAGCUUGACUGCGAGCGUGACGGCGCGAGCAGGUGCGAAAGCAGGUCAUAGUGAUCCGGUGGUUCUGAAUGGAAGGGCCAUCGCUCAACGGAUAAAAGGUACUCCGGGGAUAACAGGCUGAUACCGCCCAAGAGUUCAUAUCGACGGCGGUGUUUGGCACCUCGAUGUCGGCUCAUCACAUCCUGGGGCUGAAGUAGGUCCCAAGGGUAUGGCUGUUCGCCAUUUAAAGUGGUACGCGAGCUGGGUUUAGAACGUCGUGAGACAGUUCGGUCCCUAUCUGCCGUGGGCGCUGGAGAACUGAGGGGGGCUGCUCCUAGUACGAGAGGACCGGAGUGGACGCAUCACUGGUGUUCGGGUUGUCAUGCCAAUGGCACUGCCCGGUAGCUAAAUGCGGAAGAGAUAAGUGCUGAAAGCAUCUAAGCACGAAACUUGCCCCGAGAUGAGUUCUCCCUGAGACUUUAAGUCUCCUGAAGGAACGUUGAAGACGACGACGUUGAUAGGCCGGGUGUGUAAGCGCAGCGAUGCGUUGAGCUAACCGGUACUAAUGAACCGUGAGGCUUAACCUU
rnacentral:rRNA from 1 species